rnacentral:rRNA from 1 species
AGUGAACGCUGGCGGCGUGCCUAAUACAUGCAAGUCGAACGAAAACACAAUAAGCUUGUUCCUCUACCGGUAGCGAGUGACGGGUGGGUGACACGUGGAUAGGCUUCCUCUAAUACGGGGAGAACUUCGUAGGGCCACUUAUACUACCAGAUCAUAUGUUGUACCGCAUAAAGCAAUGGUUCAUCGCACCUUUGGUGUCACUUAGAGCUGGAGCCGCGCCGCAUUAGCUAGUUGGUAAAGUAACGGCUUACCAAGGCAACGAUGCGUAGCCGACCUGAGAGGGUGAUCGGCCACACUGGAACUGAGACACGGUCCAGACUCCUACGGGAGGCAGCAGUAGGGAAUCUUCGGCAAUGGGCGAAAGCCUGACGCAGCAAUGCCGCGUGAGUGAUGAAGGCCUUCGGAUCGUAAAACUCUGUUAUUAGGGAAGAAAAACUGCGUAAGAAACUAUGCCUGUCCUGACGGUACCUAAUGAGAAAGCCACGGCUAACUACGUG